GGGGGCAAAGAGCCAGUGUGGGUACCUGCAGCCAGGGUCCAUGGUGUGAUUUGGGGUGUGUGAUGUCCAUGUUGCACCCGCAGCAGCAGAUGCCGGGGAGGAGGUCAGGCAGCACAGGCAGCCAGAGAAAGGCUGGUGCUUGAGCUUUGGUCUGUGGUGUUUGAAAACCCAGUUUUCUCCUCUGGAUAUGGCUGCCUCGGUGGCAGUGCAUGGGGAAACCAGUGGCAGUACAUGGGGACCCCAGUGGCGUUGCAUGGAGACCCCGGUGGCAGUGCAUGGGGACCGCCAGUCUGAGACCUCUGAGCUCUGCUGGUCUUUUCCUUCCUUUUCCCGGACCUGGUGGAUAGGGAUCUACCUCAGAGCACAGCCCCGGGGGGGAGGUCCAAGCUUGGAUGGGGCAGCAGCACUUGGGGGCUUGUCCCGCAUGGGCCAGGACAGGCUGGUUGAUGUGGCUGGAGCCAGUUGCCCCUGCCAGAAGCAGGUGCACCCACGGUGCCCUGGCUGGGGGGACACUUGGCACAAAGUCUGGUGGUGGCAGCGGCCAGGAGGUGGCUUUGUCCAGGGUCAGUGUGUGUGAAGAGCCUGUUUCCCGGCACAGCACCCGCCGCUGAUGGUUUUGGUGACAGGCUGCCUGACGCUGCAGGGAGGGAUCUGUGGGACGGGACCUGGCCCUGGCACUGCUGCGUUCCCUCUGACCCAGGCGCAUCCCUCCCGCAAGGAUGGAGCUGUUCCAUGUGCUUCCCAUGGAUGCAGCCGGGUCACAUCGCGCGCUCCCCACGGCUGAGCACACACAGAGUUCGUGGUAAGAGGAUAAGUUGCCCUUUUCAGUUGGAUGUUUUUCAGACACACGGGGCCAUUGUGCAAGCCCGUUCCCCGUGUGCCGGUCCCAUCCAGGGCUGCUCUUAACAUGGCAACCUCAAGCAUAUGCCCAAGCACUGGAGAUGGAUUUUAGCGUUUGCAGUCAGGUGCCGAGCUUGGCCCCGGCACCCUUCGACUGGCCGGUUGCUGGAGGACUUGGCGCACCCGGUAACUCAGAGCACACGAGCCAUUCAUGUGACAUUUGCACCUGAUGAAAUUGCACUAAUUGUGGUGGGGUCCCCGCUGCCCUUGCACAUGGCUCACGGGGGACGGAGCUGGGGGCUUGCACUGGGCAGGGGAUGGAGCAGGGGGCUCGCACCCUGGGCACACAGCUUUGGGGCUCGCCUGCGGUGUCCUCUCCAGGUCUUGGAGCCACAAAACCCACGCUGGUGUCACUGGGAGAGUGGGUGAGUGGCCCUGUCCCUGGUUCCCACUCUGAUGAUGCUCCCCAGGUGCUGCCCCCGGCCCAUGGGUGCCCAUGGUUCUGGUGCUGUGGCCCUGGGGUAUGAGUGAACCCAUUCCCCACAUGGGCACGGGUGGGGGCCUGGGGCUGCUGAGGGCUCCUCUGCUCCUGGUGACACCAUGGUGUGCACUUGGGCUGUGGUGAGCUCCUGGCUCCUGUCAGCCUCCCCUUUCCAUCUGCACCAUUCCUGUUCCGCUUUGGUUUGGGGGAGGGUUGUUCUUCUGUUACAGUUUUUCCCCUUUUCUGUUGGUUGUUUUUUUUUUUUUUUGCAACUUCUUUGUUAAUGUGUACAUAUAUAUAUAUAAAAUAUAAUAUAAUAUAUAUA
ensembl:lncRNA